rnacentral:rRNA from 1 species
AAGGCUCUUCGGAGCAGGAAGACAGGUGGUGCAUGGUUGUCGUCAGCUCGUGUCGUGAGAUGUUGGGUUAAGUCCCGCAACGAGCGCAACCCUUAUCGUUAGUUGCUACCAUUAGGUUGAGCACUCUAGCGAGACUGCCCGGGUUAACCGGGAGGAAGGUGGGGAUGACGUCAAAUCAUCAUGCCCCUUAUGUCUAGGGCUACACACGUGCUACAAUGGUGAGGACAAAGAGACGCAAGACCGCGAGGUGGAGCAAAUCUCACAAACCUCAUCCCAGUUCGGAUUGCAGGCUGAAACUCGCCUGCAUGAAGCCGGAGUUGCUAGUAAUCGCGAAUCAGCAUGUCGCGGUGAAUACGUUCCCGGGCCUU